CCCCGCGCUGCCGGCCAGAGCUGCGCUCGCGCGGUGCAGUGCAGCAGCCGCGCCUUCUGCAAAGCGGACGCUGCGGCUCUCCUGCAGUUCAUCAAAAACUACCAAAGACUUUUGCUUUUAUAAAUUGAGAGCCAAUAGUUACCUCCCUCGCCUCCCAGGCCUAUCCAGUACCUGCCCAAAUUAAGAAGAAAACACUGUUCCCCCAAAGCCACGGAGGAGCCGAGGCCCUCAACUUGAGGUGGGGAAUCUGAGGAGAAUGAAGAUUUGGAAGAGCAGUGGUGUCGGGGGAACAGCACCGCAGGAUGGUGCACAGUCAAGGAGAGGAGAAUGCGGAAUCCACUCGGUGGUGUGAGGGGCCGGGGAGCUGCAGCUAGAAUCACCAGGAUGCAAGUCACCCUACUCUGGAGCUGUGUGACUUGGAGAAGGUAUAUUGUCUGGAGAAGUCCCAGAUUCAUGAUGACCUUCGGCAAGGUACUCAGCCUCUCUGUUCCUAAAUAUCCUCAGUCAUU